UUAAGGCUUCUCAAAAAGAACUAGAUAGGGGACAGUUUUAUAUCAUUUAUAUAUUAUUCCUUUAUAACAUUGUAAAAGCUAUAUAAAAUUAGGUGUGCAUGUAAUAUUUAAAAAUGAGUUUGACCUUAAUUAUUGUGAUUAAACAAGAAAAAAUAACACCUUUUAGAUAAAUGUCAUUCUCUGAGCAGUCUUAACUUAAGAGAAAUAAAUGUGUAUAUUUUCAGUAAAUGUUUCUUAAAGUUAACUUUAUUGUUACAGACAGUAGGAAAUGAUAAAAGAUUGUAUGCUAAUAUUAUAAAAUAUAUGCAGUCUACUAUAUUUUUUUAUAUAUUGUAUACUUUAUUUAUAUAAGUCAUCUAAACUAGUCAAAAAUAAACUUUUGGUAAGAACAAAUUCAGAGAUCUGGGAGAUUUCUAUCCUAAUUUAUUAUCCUUCAGUAAAUUACUCCACCGACCCUGAAAAUCAGCAACCAAUCAAGGUAAUUUUUUUAAUCUAUAUUAUUUACAAACUAGCUAGACAUCUGUCUAAAUUUCUCGGCUUCUAAUUGUUUCGCUCUUCAUCUAGAAGGAUUAAUUAUAGAUUUUUUUCAGAGCUAUUAAAAGUGUGUCGAAGGAGAUAUAAUUAAUAUACUUGUUUACCUCAUAAUGCUAAAUGGCAAACUACUUCAAGUUUAAUAAAUUUUCUUUUUCAAGUUUAUUGUAAUAUAUUCUGAUUAAAAAGUCAAAUUGAAAAUGAGAGGUUGAUUUAUUUUUAACAGAAGCUACAUGUAAAUCACAUGAAAAUUAAUACAUCUAAUAAUAAGCAAUACAGUGUAAUAAAUAAUACAAGUAUUUUUAGAAAUAUGAUUAUGAAGUUUUACUUCAUAUCGUUCUUUUAGCACAAAAUACAUUCUUUUUAGAUAUAGAAGAUUUCAAUUGAUUGCUAUGAAAUACAAAUUAAUAAAAUGCCCUGACAAGUGAAAUAGAUUAAUUAGUAUCUUUGUUGAGUCUUGUAUUCGGAAUAAAUUUAUACCCUAUAGUUUUAUUAUGACUCUUUUAAUAUAUUUUCAUCACAAAGAGAAAAGAAUGCUAGAAGUGAUCAAAGAUAAGUACUACCUAUUUAUAACCCUAUUAUUUAUCAAUAUAAAUUUAGUAUCUAGUAUACAUAUAUAUAAAUAUAGCAAAAUGCGAUUGCCUUAGGUAAUAUUUCUUAUUACUUUAUAAAAUAUUUUUAUAGAUUGAAGUUCAAACAACAAAUUUUUUUAUUUUAUAGUCUAAACAGUACGCGAACAAUCGUCAAUAAGUAUCUCAGUUUAUCAAUAGUCCUUUUUUUAUUGACGCGGAAUCAUGUGUUUUAACCAGUAAUAUAAGAAAACCACAUUUUAACUCAAUACAUUAACUAUCAAGUAGGAAGAAGAAUGCCCUACUCUGUAAUGAAUUUGAUCAUAUUUCUCAUUUCUAUCAAAUACGCACUGUCACUCUCCGACAUACAUUUACAUAGAGAAAUGGAAGAAGGAAGAAAGCGAAGUUUCAGGCUUUCGUUAAUAACGUCCUCAAUGAUAUCUGCUCUUAAGACGACAAAAGCUAAUAAAGUUGUUUUUUUUGGCAAUAAUACAUUUCUUGAGAAUGAUUUAAUUGAACGUACAAACAAAAUUGGAAAGACAGCUAUUUUUAGCAAUGGUCAAUGGUUAAACGAAUGGUCUUCCAAUCCGGAAAUGUAUGAAUAUGUUAUAUAUACUUCUAGUCUUAAUUAUGUAAAAGACACCUUGUUAAAGAGUCGUAAAUUAAAAAUACUUGGCCCAUUAUUUAAUUGGCUAAUUUACAUGGAAAAUUAUGAUUUUAAAGAAAUUGAGAAGGCCUUUACUAACUUACUAUACCCAGGUGAUAGUAUUUUAUUACUUAUUGAAAAUAACGGUAUCAUAGAAUACUAUCAAUGGUUCGUUGGAAACUUUAGAUUAAUUGGUCAUUUUACAAGAGAUAAAAUACGAAAAAAUGCUCCAUUUUUUCUCCCUUUUCAUGGUUUUUACGGGCGAGAAUUCACAAUUGUUGCUACUCCAUUGGAUUUCCUACAAUUUAGAAUUGUUAGAAAGGGAAAGGUGUUUUAUGUUGGAAUAUUUUUUAAUAUUUUUAAUAUGUUAGCUGAAAGACUAAAAUUCAGGUAUAGAAUAAUUGAACCUAAAGAAGCAGCUAUCGGAACUUUAAUUAACGGAACUUAUAAUGGAGCCAUGGGUAUGAUUUAUAGAAAGGAAGCUGAUAUUGGAGUUGGAGCUUUUACUGUUACGGCUCAGAGACUGAAAGCCGUAGAUUUUCUCUCAGUUACUCAAACAGAAGCCCUGACAAUUUUAAUGAAAAGGCCAAAUCCUCAAUUAUUGUCCAGUGUAUUUUUCACACAGACUUUUAAAAUUGAAGUAUGGAUGUGUUUUAUAUCUUCGGUUACGCUAAGCUUUGUAGCUUUAUUAUUUUUCUCGAAAUACAACUUAAAAGAAGAAGGAUUUGGUCUACGCGUCAAAUCUUUUGACGAAGACUAUUCUCUUUUUAGACACUGCUUUUGGUAUGCAUUUGGAGCGGCUAUUAAUCAAGGCGGAAUAUUACCAUCUGUUGGAAAGACAUCCGUAAGAGCUUUAGUAGGAUCUAUGUGGUUGACUUGGAUCAUGAUUACGGCUAUUUAUACUGGAAAUUUAGUAGCUAUUAUGAGCGUUAGAAAGUACAAGUUACCUGUCAAUAAUCUUGAGGAUGCUGUCUCAAAUAAAGAUUUUAAAUUAAUUAUUUUAGGAAAUUCUGGCCAUGAGACAAUAUUCAAAACAGCAGAUUCGGGAGUAUUCAAAAAAGCAUGGGAGAAAAUAAUCCAAGAUCCGCAAGAAAAUAUUGUACCUGAUCUAAAAACUGGUAUAGAAAAAGCUAAGCAAGAAAAUACCGGAUAUAUCAGUACUAGAUCCGUUGUUAAUUUAGUAUCUCAUCUAGAUUGUGAAUUAACAACAACCGACGAAAAGUAUGACUUUCUUCCAAACGGUGUCACAUUUGCUGUUCAAAAAGGGUGGGGCUAUCAAAAUCUUUUUAACAAGAUAUUGCUAGAAAUCAGUUUGGAGCCGGGAUUAAAUGAAAAAUGGCUCAGGACAUAUAAUUUAACGCAGAAUCCUAGCUGCAAAGAUUCUGAUUCGACAGAAUCUAAUGCAAUAGAUCUUGCAACAUAUUCUGGAUCUUUUUACAUAAUUGCGAUAGGAUUCGGACUUGCAUUGCUUUCAAUUACCAUCGAAUUUAUCAAGUCAUAUUUACACUUUAAAAAACUCCGAAGAACUAUUCAUUCAAAUUUUUAAUAAUUAUUUAUAGAAUACACUAUAUUUAUAUGAAAAGUCUUAUUUAUAGUUAGAACUCUCUUUUUGUUU
rnacentral:misc_RNA from 1 species